GGCAAGAAAGAUCUGUUUAUUUUUCACACAAAAGGGCUAAGAAGUUGUUAGUGGGGUUUUUUUUUCCAUUUUAAAACAUGGAUUUCUUUUUCUUCCACCUGAAGUCUGCACAGUAUUCCGCAGAGCAGCUGUCCACAGCAAGAAACUCAUCAUUCACUCUCUGAUCAGCACAUACACGUUACCCUCCUGCUAUUAUUUAGCUGAACAGUUUCAGUGUCUCGGGUGCCUUGUGGAAGUUGGGAAGGAAAAUCAAAGGUCACAAGGAAGAUGGAAAAAGGGAAGGGUGAGAGGACAUCUGAGAUGGAAACAGAGACAAAUGACUCUUCCCUUGAGGUAACAUCAGAUACAGGAGAAGCUCCCCUGUGCUGCACUGGAGUCCAACAGGUA